rnacentral:misc_RNA from 1 species
GAAAUGCGAUAAGUGAUGUGAAUUGCAGAAUUCAGUGAAUCAUCGAAUCUUUGAACGCACAUUGCGCCCGCCAGCACUCUGGCGGGCAUGCCUGUUCGAGCGUCAUUUCAACCCUCAGAACCCCUUGCGGGAUCUGGCGUUGGGGAUUGGCAUCCAGCCAGCCCCGAAAUCUAGUGGCGGUCCCUCCGCGACCUCCCCUGUGCAGUAGCGAUACCUCGCAGCGGGACAGCGGUCUGACCACGCCGUAAAACCCCCAAAUUCUCAAGGUUGACCUCGAAUCAGGUAGGAAUACCCGCUGAACUUAAGC